rnacentral:lncRNA from 1 species
CCCGAUUAUUCAGGUUUUAAAAAGAGUAUUUUUAAUAGUGCAUCCUCUUCAAAGGAGGAAGAAAGAAUUCCUCUCCUUGUAUCUCCAAAGGGCUGGAGGGCCAAUAGACAUGGGGAAAAUGAAGUUGUGAAGCUCCCAACUCUCCGAAGUCAAGGAUCUCUGGCUGUCUUCCUUGAGAAAUGCUGAAGUCACCUGAGGUAGGAACAUCAUUUAGGAAUAAGAAGUCCUGCUGAGUUGGUGAUAUCUUCGUUGUGUUACUCUUUAAUUACAUCGUAUGUGUACAUACCUGUGUAAGUUUGGGCCAGUACAUCAGAGAUAAUUUUAACAUUCUGUUAGUGAUUAUGUAGUUUUAAGAGAUGAAGAAAGGCAAACAAAUGUCAUUUGCUUAUGCAUAGCAAGUGCUGUGUUAGGAAAGCCAAACAAUAUUGGGUACUGUUGACAGUAAUAAUGUUUUACCUCCCAUUGUUACAAAAAUUUGCCUCAUUAAACAAGCUCAAGCAAAUGAGCCCAUAAGAAGAAGCCCUGUUUCUAACCAGCACAUGUUCAACAGUAAAUAAACCAAUGCAACUUGAGUUUGUGAUUUCAGUGCAGCAACAAUGGGAGGGAUGGACCAGAUGUGACUUGGGCCUCUACUUCAGAUGGGAUAUUUAAACAAAACAAGAGCACAUAAACAUAUUGAGUCCUUGGUUUAGGAGAUUAUGCAUCCUGCUUGCUCAGAAGACUUGAUUUUGAAAAAUAAUGGAAAUUGGAGAUAGGUAACAAUUUAGCUGUGGUCCAGAAGAUGUUAGCAUCUUUCUGGGUACUAUAUCAAUCAAAAAGGGC